GGCAAGAUGGCCGAGCGGUCUAUGGCGUGUGACUCAAGCGAAAGCUUGCCUGUACAGCAGGUUUCUCAUCUCCGAAAGGGGGCGUGGGUUCGAAUCCCACUCUUGUCA